rnacentral:rRNA from 1 species
GACAGAGGGUGCAAACGUUGCUCGGAAUCACUGGGCGUAAAGGGCGUGUAGGCGGGAGAGAAAGUCGGGCGUGAAAUCCCUAGGCUCAACCUAGGAACUGCACUCGAAACUUCUUUUCUUGAGUGCCGGAGAGGAAAGCGGAAUACCUGGUGUAGAGGUGAAAUUCGUAGAUAUUCGGAAGAACACCAGUGGCGAAGGCGACUUACUGGACACAUAUUGACGCUGAGGUGCGAAAGCGUGGGGAGCAAACAGG